CGGGGCGUAGCUCAGCCUGGUAGAGCGCCUGCUUUGGGAGCAGGAUGUCGUCGGUUCAAAUCCGGCCGCCCCGACCA
rnacentral:tRNA from 1 species